rnacentral:rRNA from 1 species
CACGUAGGGGGCAAGCGUUGUCCGGAUUCAUUGGGCGUAAAGAGCUCGUAGGCGGUUCGAUAAGUCGGGUGUGAAACCUCCAGGCUCAACCUGGAGACGCCACCCGAUACUGUCGUGACUAGAGUCCAGUAGGGGAGCGUGGAAUUCCUGGUGUAGCGGUGAAAUGCGCAGAUAUCAGGAGGAACACCAGCGGCGAAGGCGACGCUCUGGGCUGGAACUGACGCUGAGGAGCGAAAAGCGUGGGGGAGCGAACAGG